rnacentral:misc_RNA from 1 species
GACAUGGCUUAGCUAUUGCUGUCUGCUAUUAUGUAAUUUUUGUAUAAUUUCUAUUCAAUAACAGCUGUAAUUUUGGAAGCACUCAAAUUAAUAACUGCAUACAAAAUAACCCAUCAGUCUCAUUUUAUUCCCAAAGUACAUUAUAGCAGACAGCAAUAGCUAAGCCAUGUCUUUCCAUAGCAUCAGGGGAUAAGAAGGAUCUUCCCAAUAUGUUGGCUACUUUCCAUAAGCCGGUGAGCCUCUGCUGCCUCAGAUAGGGGAAAUUGCUUAUAGACCAGAAGCUUCACCUUCCCUGCAACAACAGCAGGCCAAACAUUCUUCUCCACCUCAUUCACAAUUUCUGCUAUUUCUGUUUUUUUUUCUGGUCUUCUCAUCCGAAAGCCAGUCGCUUGCACUGUGAGGCGCU